rnacentral:rRNA from 1 species
AGCAAUCGAAGCAGUGAACUUAAGCCCCAGUAAACGGCGGCCGUAACUAUAACGGUCCUAAGGUAGCGAAAUUCCUUGUCGGGUAAGUUCCGACCCGCACGAAAGGCGUAACGAUUUGGGCACUGUCUCAACAACAGACUCGGUGAAAUUGUAAUUCCGGUGAAGAUGCCGGAUACCUGCGACAGGACGGAAAGACCCCAUGGAGCUUUACUGUAGCUUGACAUUGGGUCUUGGUACUACAUGUACAGGAUAGGUGGGAGGCUUUGAAACCAGGACGCCAGUUUUGGCGGAGCCAUCCUUGGGAUACCACCCUUGUAGUACUGGGACUCUAACCAUAGGCCAUGAAUCUGGUCUUGGGACACUGUCAGGUGGGCAGUUUGACUGGGGCGGUCGCCUCCCAAAAGGUAACGGAGGCGCUCAAAGGUUCUCUCAGUACGGUCGGAAAUCGUACGUAGAGUGUAAAGGC